rnacentral:rRNA from 1 species
GAUGAACGCUGGCGGCGUGCUUAACACAUGCAAGUCGAACGGAAAGGCUCCUGCUUGCCGGGGUACUCGAGUGGCGAACGGGUGAGUAACACGUGGGUGAUCUGCCCUGCACUUCGGGAUAAGCCUGGGAAACUGGGUCUCAUACCGGAUAGGAUGAUGUUUAGGAUGCCAUUGUGGAAAGUUUUUGCGGUGUGCGAUGAGCUCGCGGCCUAUCAGCUUGUUGGUGGGGUAAUGGCCUACCAAGGCGUCGCCGGGUAGCCGGCCUGAGAGGGUGGACGGCCACAUGCGGACUGAGAUACGCCCCAGACGGCUACCGGAGGCAGCAGUGCCCCCUUUUGCACACUGGGCGCAAGCCUGAUGCACAGACGCCGCGUGGGGGAUGACGGCCUUCGGGGUGACAACUACUUUCGCUAGGGACGAAGCGCAAGUGACGGUACCUGGAGAAGAAGCACCGGCUAACUACGUG